rnacentral:rRNA from 1 species
CCCUACGGGACGCAGCAGUGAGGAAUAUUGGUCAAUGGGCGGAAGCCUGAACCAGCCAAGUCGCGUGAGGGAAGAAGGCCCUGCGGGUCGCAGACCUCUUUGGACGGGGAGCAAGGCCGCCGACGUGUCGGCGGAAGGAGAGUAGCCGUAGAACAAGCAGCGGCUAACUCCGUGCCAGCAGCCGCGGUAAUACGGAGGAGGCGAGCGUUAUCCGGAUUUAUUGGGUUUAAAGGGGGCGCAGUCGGCACGGCAAGCCGGCGGUCGA